CGAUGAUGCAUAGCCCGAGUUGAGAGACUGAUCGGCCACAUUGGGACUGAGACACGGCCCAAACUCCUACGGGAGGCAGCAGUAGGGAAUCUUCCACAAUGGACGAAAGUACUGAUGGAGGCAACGACCGCGUGAGUGAAGAAGGUUUUACGGGUAGUCGUAAAGACUCUGUUGUUGGUGAAGAAGGAGUAGAGGGUAGUAACUGGCCUUUAUUUGACGGUAAUCAACUAGAAAGUCACGGCUAACUACGUGCCAGCAGCCGCGGUAAU
rnacentral:rRNA from 1 species